CUCUUUGAAGAGCUCUGUCUUCAGGAGUUUCUUAAAGAUAGUGAGAGAUUCUCCUGAUCUGGUAGUAGAAGGUAGUUAGUUAGAGGUGUUAGGAGAGUAAGUGCUCUUUGAAGAGCUCUGUCUUCAGGAGUUUAUUAAAGAUAGUGAGAGAUUCUCCUGAUCUGGUAGUGGAAGGUAGUUAGUUAGAGGUGUUAGGAGAGUAAGUGCUCUUUGAAGAGCUCUGUCUUCAGGAGUUUAUUAAAGAUAGUGAGAGAUUCUCCUGAUCUGGUAGUAGAAGGUAGUUAGUUAGAGGUGUUAGGAGAGUAGGUUCUCGUUGAAGAGCUCUGUCUUCAGGAGUUUAUUAAAGAUAGCGAGAGAUUCUCCUGAUCUGGUAGUAGAAGGUAGUUUGUUAGAGGUGUUAGGAGAGUAAGUGUUCUUUGAAGAGCUCUGUCUUCAGGAGUUUAUUAUUAAAGAUAGUGAGAGAUUCUCCUGAUCUGGUAGUAGAAGGUAGUUAGUUAGAGGUGUUAGGAGAGUAAGAGCUCUUUGAAGAGCUCUGACUUCGGGAGUUUGAUGCACUGUAUGAGAACAGUCUGAAUUGUGUGUGAAUGUUUCUGGAGGAAAUGUAAGCCUGUAGUCAUAAUGUGUUCUUUGGUAAUUGAGCAUAUUUGAGCUUGAUAACACACACAUCACAUUAUCGAAUGUCAUCUUGUACUGUGUGCCCUUUAAAUGGCUGCUAAUGUUGACUGUCCUCAUCAGUCAGAUGCAAUAAACUGAACACACAUUCACACUAUCACAGGGCUGAGACGUCUCUGUCACGCGGCUGCGGCAUGAGAGUUACCCGCAAUCUUUCCACAGCUUUAAACGGUUUAAUCCUAAAUUACAGAGCAAUAAAACACUGUAGGUGCGUCUGUGGAUGCAGCAUAAACACCAGAAAGCUUUAAUUAAAAGUUACGCAACUUUUAUAGUAGUUUGAAGUAAAGGUCUGCAUGAGACUCAGGUUUUAAAAACUCUUCCACCAACUCCUGCUCAAAAUUGACAGCAUUUGUCCCACGCCACAAAAUUCUGUCCCACAAGGUCCUGAAGGACUGUAGACCUCUUCUACUGUAAACUAAAUAGAUAUACAUAUAUCAUGUGUUCUGCAUAAAUGCAAAGAAAACUGCAGACAAAAAGAAGAUCUUAUGUGAUAGUUGGCAUGGGAGAUCUACUUUCUCAACAAGGAUAUAAGAAAAUAUUGAAAUAUUGCAAUAUAUAUGCAAAAAAAAAAACAUAUCGUAAUGUUUUGUUUUGCAAUGCUACAUUUUUUUUACUUUUAAUUUAUAUGCAAUUUUUUUUUAACCCCGCCCAUUAGAUUGAAGUGUUGCACACUGUCGUUAGACCCCACUGAUCUGAUUGGAUAAAGGGUAAAAGCUUUUUUUACUCAGAUUUUAUAAAUAUAAUGUUUUAUUUUGGUAAUAUUUUAUUGCAUUUAAAUUUUUGCAUUAUAUCUCCCUAAAUACAGUAUCGCAAUACAUUCUUAUCUAUUGAAUCUAGAGCUGAACAAUUAAUAGUUUUUUUU